GAAUUAGUAACUUAAUUGGUAGAGGACUUCCCUGUCACGGAAGUAGGUGCCGGUUCGAUGCCGGUCUAGUUCG
rfam:Sordaria macrospora k-hell, WGS project CABT02000000 data, contig: 2.1583, organelle: mitochondrion